CUGUAAAAUGAUAAGCAGUAUAAACACUAAAACCAAAAAAGGUUGUGAUAAAAAAGGGACUAUUUUUCCUGUCACAGCUAAACAUUGUUAUCAAAUGGAAGUUAAGAAAUAACUGAUAUCAGUAUGUGAGUAAUUAAAAGCAUUUUUGCAAAGAAGCCUGCCAGACUCUCUUCUGCACGUACAUAUAGAGCUGCAGUAGUGUUAGUAGUGUUGCCUCACUAGUAGUGUUAUCUAGUCCAACAUAAGCAUUUGGAUGACAUAAGUAUGAGGAGGUUUUAAUCUCUCCAUUUAUUUAUUCCUGAUUUCAUGGGAGUUAAGCUUUGAAAUGAGACCUGAGUGAACUCGCUGAACCUUGGGAUGAUGCAGAACAUCAUCUGCAUCCUGUAGGUUUUUAACUCAGAAAUCUAGAGAACUCCAAGUUCUUUUUCCAGGAUUUGGAAGCUGAUUUCUUAUCCAUCCUCAGCCCUCUGUCUGCAUUGGCUCUUAGCUGCAACUUGCUUUCUCUUUUUCUCUUUUCCCCUUUCUCUUAACCACAAGAAAUACUCACUCUUAAAAUAUGAAUAAUUAAAUAACACUCUCAAAUUAAGGUCUUUAAUGGAAAAUGGGAAGAAAAAUAAGAUAAUAAAUCUGGUGUUUACACAAUUUUCCUUAAAAUAAUGACUGAACUUAUAGAUCUCUAACUAUCUGACAACAGGAGUCAAUUGGAAACAUUCAUGCGAAGCCAUGAUACAUUUUGCGUGACCUUGAAUUAAUUUUUGCCUUGCUACUUUCAAAUUAAUUAUGUUACACACAUGACACUCCUCCUGGCACUUUUUUAACAUCUGGAUGCCCUUGUUAUAUUUUUUACCCAAAAGUCUGUAUAUUCUUUUGGACUAAGUGAUUAUUUCCCUGCAUAAGUUUCUACUCAGGUGAAUUUUCAUUGUUUCUGUCAUUAAUUUUUCCUUUCUUACUGCAGGGAACAUUUUGUUUAACUCUUACAUAAGUAUAAAAGGAGUAUUGCUUACCAUUAAACUUUUCCUAGUAGUGCGUAGAAAACAUCAGGUGUCAAGGAAAUAAAAGCUGCAACUUGCUUUGUUAAGAAAGAUCAGUGGAUAACAACACUGAACAGCAUAUAGCUAGGACUUACCGUACUUACUUUCUCUCCUCAGACUUAAGUUAAUAUUCUGUGGCCUAUCUAUUCUACCAUUUCACAUUACGGAGAGCUGACUCUUCCUCUUUUCCAAUAUAAACCAAAUUUUGCUUCCUUCUGCAAUCAGAAAGCCAUUUUCAAAUCAAACUCUUGAGUGUAUGAGCACUGUCUUAUAUUUGAAAAUAUGCAAAAAAAUAUUUUGGACAUGGGGACAGAAAAAUAUGCAACUAAUGCAAUAAAUGAAUUUUAAUCAAGCUAAUAUUUCUUCUUAGAAAAUAUCAUUUGAGUUAUUUGCAUCCACUAGCAUUAGAGCCAUGACUUAUUUGGAGGCAGGUUGGGAUAUGCCAGCUGUUUCCCUGAUUGUUUAAAUGUUCCAAAUUCUAACAUAUUUUAAGAAGGCAGUUUUAGCAGAAACACCCUCGGUGAUUGCACUUUCUCAGAUCCCACAAGAAAAGGCUGUUGGAGCAGGUUGCAGAUAGAGACAUCCAGCAAAACUGGAGUUACAAAGCCUGUUUGAUCCCAGCAAGUUGGCUUUAUUCUUGGUCAUACAGUAUUGUGGAAGACACUGUGUAGAUCAAAGAGUUGAUUAAGUAACAAAGAUUUCCAGGAAAGAAAACUAACUUCCAACCAGUGCUGAUGUUUACCCUUCAUGCAAUGCACCUGAACAGUUUAAACAGAUGAAAAGGAAAGGGAGAAAGGCAGCCCAAACAUCUGAAUGCGAUUGCCUGGAAAAUCAUUGUGGUCUGUACAGAACUUCAACUGCUCAGAGAUGAUAUUCUGCCUCUGGAAGCAGUUAAAUUUAGAAAAGAAAGGAAGUGCUUAUUUAAAUGCAAAAGCUUGUCCAAAUGUUUUUAAACCAUUUCUUUCAGGGCAUUAAAUAAUGCUCAAACAUCCAUUGAAGUCAAAUUUCCACUGAACUAAAUCAGUGCAGUCUCUAUGCGGCUACAGAAUGAUUCUUAUAUAAAUCCUUUCAUAAUAUGAUUUUCCCUAUUAAGCGUUCCUGUAGCAACUACAUGCAUGCUAUGUGAUUGGAGAGGGAGGAAGAAGCUGUUUGAUUUGCACACAUGCAAAGAAGUGGCCCUCUCUCUUUCGUUAAGGUGUGGUGGGUGUUGCAAUGUAGUCUGACUGCAGCUGGUCCAGCUUUUGUGACAGACUGGUGAGAACAUUUGCCUCAAGCUCCUGCCACUUAAAUCCCCAAAUGUUGACUAUAACCUGCAAGAAAGAUCUUUUCUUAUACCUGUUCUAAAUGUCAGUAGUGAAUUAAGCAACUGUAGUCUAAACUAAGUUUAGAAUUUUGAAAAAAAAUA